rnacentral:rRNA from 1 species
UGCUACACAUGCAGUCGAACGGUGAACACGGAGCUUGCUCUGUGGGAUCAGUGGCGAACGGGUGAGUAACACGUGAGCAACCUGCCCCUGACUCUGGGAUAAGCGCUGGAAACGGCGUCUAAUACUGGAUAUGUGACGUGACCGCAUGGUCUGCGUUUGGAAAGAUUUUUCGGUUGGGGAUGGGCUCGCGGCCUAUCAGCUUGUUGGUGAGGUAAUGGCUCACCAAGGCGUCGACGGGUAGCCGGCCUGAGAGGGUGACCGGCCACACUGGGACUGAGACACGGCCCAGACUCCUACGGGAGGCAGCAGUGGGGAAUAUUGCACAAUGGGCGAAAGCCUGAUGCAGCAACGCCGCGUGAGGGAUGACGGCCUUCGGGUUGUAAACCUCUUUUAGCAGGGAAGAAGCGAAAGUGACGGUACCUGCAGAAAAAGCGCCGGCUAACUACGUGCCAGCAGCCGCGGUAAUACGUAGGGCGCAAGCGUUAUCCGGAAUUAUUGGGCGUAAAGAGCUCGUAGG